rnacentral:rRNA from 1 species
CCUACGGGGGGCAGCAGUGAGGAAUAUUGGUCAAUGGACGAGAGUCUGAACCAGCCAAGUAGCGUGAAGGAUGACUGCCCUAUGGGUUGUAAACUUCUUUUAUAUGGGAAUAAAAUGUUCCACGUGUGGGAUUUUGUAUGUACCAUAUGAAUAAGGAUCGGCUAACUCCGUGCCAGCAGCCGCGGUAAUACGGAGGAUCCGAGCGUUAUCCGGAUUUAUUGGGUGUAAAGGGAGCGUAGGUGGAUUGUUAAGUCAGUUGUGAAAGUUUGCGGCUCAACCGUAAAAUUGCAGUUGAAACUGGCAGUCUUGAGUACAGUAGAGGUGGGCGGAAUUCGUGGUGUAGCGGUGAAAUGCUUAGAUAUCACGAAGAACUCCGAUUGCGAAGGCAGUUCACUGGACUGCAACUGACACUGAGGCUCGAAAGUGUGGGUAUCAAACAGGAUUAGAUACCCGGGUAGUC